rnacentral:rRNA from 1 species
UACGGAGGGUGCGAGCGUUACCCGGAUUUACUGGGUGUAAAGGGCGUGUAGGCGGUCUCUCAAGUCCGAUGCUAAAGACCGAAGCUCAACUUCGGGGGUGCGUUGGAUACUGUGAGGCUAGACGGUCGGAGGGGGUAGCGGAAUUUCCGGAGUAGCGGUGAAAUGCGCAGAUACCGGAAGGAACGCCGAUAGCGAAGGCAGCUACCUGGACGAUUGGUGACGCUGAGAAGCGAAAGCGUGGGGAGCAAACAGG